AGAUUGAACGCUGGCGGCAUGCCUAACACAUGCAAGUCGAACGGGAGUAGCAAUACUCUAGUGGCGGACGGGUGAGGAAUACGUAGGAAUUUGCCCUUAAGUGGGGGAUAACCCGGGGAAACCCGGAUUAAUACCGCAUGACCUCGAAAGAGCAAAGUGGGGGAUCGCAAGACCUCACGCUUUUGGAGAAGCCUACGUCGGAUUAGCUAGUUGGUGAGGUAAUGGCUCACCAAGGCGACGAUCCGUAACUGGUCUGAGAGGAUGAUCAGUCACACCGGAACUGAGACACGGUCCGGACUCCUACGGGAGGCAGCAGUGGGGAAUAGUUGGACAAGUGGGCGCAAGCCUGGAAUCCAGCAAUGACCGCGUGUGUAGUAAGAA
rnacentral:rRNA from 1 species